rnacentral:rRNA from 1 species
AGUUUGAUCCUGGCUCAGGACGAACGCUGGCGGCGUGCUUAACACAUGCAAGUCGAACGCUUGAAGCCUCAGCUUGCUGUGGGUGGAUGAGUGGCGAACGGGUGAGUAACACGUGAGUAACCUGCCCCUGACUCUGGGAUAAGCCUGGGAAACUGGGUCUAAUACCGGAUAUGACCAUUCUCCGCAUGGAGUGGUGGUGGAAAGUUUUUCGGUUGGGGAUGGGCUCGCGGCCUAUCAGCUUGUUGGUGGGGUGAUGGCCUACCAAGGCGACGACGGGUAGCCGGCCUGAGAGGGCGACCGGCCACACUGGGACUGAGACACGGCCCAGACUCCUACGGGAGGCAGCAGUGGGAAUAUUGCACAAUGGGGGAAACCCUGAUGCAGCGACGCCGCGUGGGGGAUGACGGCCUUCGGGUUGUAAACCUCUUUCAGUAGGGAAGAAGCCUUCGGGUGACGGUACCUGCAGAAGAAGUACCGGC